ACUGCUCAGUAACACGUGGACAACCUGCCCUUAGGUUGGGUAUAAACCCGGGAAACUGGGUAUAAUACCCGAUAGGUCUCGAUUGCUGGAAUGCAUCGAGAUUUAAAGCUCCGGCGCCUAAGGAUGGGUCUGCGGCCUAUCAGGUAGUAGUGGGUGUAGCGUACCUACUAGCCUACGACGGGUACGGGUUGUGAGAGCAAGAGCCCGGAGAUGGAUUCUGAGACACGAAUCCAGGCCCUACGGGGUGCAGCAGGCGCGAAAACUUUACAAUGCUGGCAACAGCGAUAAGGGAACCUCGAGUGCCAGGUUACAAAUCUGGCUGUCGAGAUGCCUAAAAAGCAUUUCAUAGCAAGGGCCGGGCAAGACCGGUGCCAGCCGCCGCGGUAACACCGGCGGCUCGAGUGGUAACCGUUAUUAUUGGGUCUAAAGGGUCUGUAGCCGGCCGGAUAAGUCUCUUGAGAAAUCUGGCAGCUUAACUGUCAGGCUUUCAGGAGAUACUGUCUGGCUCGAGGCCGGGAGAGGUGAGAGGUACUUCAGGGGUAGGGGUGAAAUCUUGUAAUCCUUGAAGGACCACCAGUGGCGAAGGCGUCUCACCAGAACGGACCUGACGGCAAGGGACGAAAGCUAGGGGCACGAACCGGAUUAGAUACCCGGGUAGUCCUAGCCGUAAACGAUACUCGCUAGGUGUCGGCCACGGUGCGACCGUUGUCGGUGCCGUAGGGAAGCCGUGAAGCGAGCCACCUGGGAAGUACGGCCGCAAGGCUGAAACUUAAAGGAAUUGGCGGGGGAGCACA
rnacentral:rRNA from 1 species